UCGUCGCACGGACCCUGCUCGCCGCCGCCCUCACCACACGAGCCCAGCUUGCCGCCACCCCCGCCGCACAGCCUCAGCUCGCUGCCGCGCCUGCUCCAUUGUUCGGUUCCGGCGAGCUCUCUGCACUUGGGCCCGCAGCUACUACCCAUCCCAUUGCAUCGAGCUGGUAGCAGUUUGUCUUCUCGUCUCCAAAUCUUCACCUUCUUCCCAAUCCCUAUGCUGAGGAAUCCACGACGGCGGCCACGCCUUAUCCGCAGCUACCUUGCCCGAUAGAUUCGGCGGCGGCGAUGUCCUCGCCAUACCUGCAGCACCAAUCUACAGCUGUCGGCAUCGGCGGCGGUGUCCAUGGCGGCGUCGUAUCCGCGGCAUCGACAACAUCCCUCCACAGAGCCCCUCAACAUGAUUCGACGGUAGUAGUGGCACCCUCACCUUAUAUGUACGAGGAGAAUCGCUCACCUCAACUAUCCCCUAGCAUGAUCCAAGAUCUAACGAAGAUUGUUUGAUUCUGUUCUGGAAUCUAUUUACAGGAAGAUGCAAGUUGAGUGCAAAAUAGCAGUACAACACUGUUGCAGCAACACGGCAUGAUCUCAUCUACCAUUAAAAUCGAUCUAUGUUCUGCUCGCAUGGUCAACACAGACCUGUUCACCUGUCCAGUUCCUGAUUGUUGAAUUGGUGUCCCUUCUUUCCUUCAUGGCUCUAAAGUUGAGUAUUUUGAUGUUUCUCCAGGAAGCCAUUUUAUUGUAGAAUAUUUUUAGAAGAAACCAGCCAUUUUAUGAGUAAAUUACACGGCCGGUCCUUAAAGUAUUACGUAGUUUUCAUCUAGGUCCCCAAACUACGAAAUCGCACGUCUGACUCCCUAAUGUAUUUAAGUGAUCUCACCUAGGUCCCAAACUACAAAAUCGCACGUCUGACUCCCUAAUGUAUUUAAGUGAUCUCAUAUAGGUCCAAAAUAUACAUAAGGAGGGUUAGAAGCUGACAUGGUCAUCCACAUAGAUAUGAUUUAAGCACAUGAUCCCUGAUUUAAGCCCACGUGUGCGGCCGCUGGCUCGUCCCUGCUCACCAUAACAGUGCCCGCAGCAUACGACCUGGUCAUGUAGGCAGCAAUGGCGGCCGGUUACACUGCCGAGCGGGGUAAGGUAGAUAUGGGAGAAGAGGGGCUUGGUUUGCGGUUAUCCAGUGUUACGCUCACUCGUGUGACCAACCGCUAUUGCCGUCUACAUGACCAGAUCGUAUGCCGUGGGCGCUGUGAUGGUGAACAGGGACGAGCCAGCGGCUGCACCCAUGGACUUAAAUCAAGGAUCAUGUGCUUAAAUCAUAUCCAUGUGGAUGAUCAUGUUAGCUUCUAACCCUUCUUAUGUGUAUUUUGGACCUAUAUGAGAUCACUUAAAUACAUUAGGGAGUCAGACGCACGAUUUCGUAGUUUGGGGACCUAGAUGAGAUCACCUAAAUACAUUAGGGAGUCAGACGAGCGAUUUCAUAGUUUGAGGACCUAGAUGAAAACCACAUAAUACUUUAAGGACCGGCCGUGUAAUUUACUCCCAUUUUAUUGUAGACUAUUUUCACAUGAAACAAUUUAACUGUAAACUAUCAGGCUAUCUCUCCUAUUUUGGUUCUAAGUGUCACCAACUAGAUAUGUUGGGAAAAAAUAUACUCCAUCUGUCCCAUAAAAAAUGUCAUUCUAGGAUUCAAAUUUUGUCCCUUUGAAAGUGUUGUUUGCCUACCUAUAGGAACUGUACCAGCAGCUGUCCACCUGCACUCACCCAUCACCCACUCACUCGCCAGCACGUAGCCCGUUAGUGGCAGCAGCUUCUUCAUUUACAGUACUUCAGCUUAUGUAAUUAUUGGAUAGUAGAGGCAUGCAGGCAUUUUACUCUUCACCAGCCUCCCAAACGACCAUAUAUAUGGCACAGAGGUAGUAUUUGCUGCAGACAGUUUGAUAAUACUAGGAUUGUUCUACAAAACAGGUCGUUGUAGAAAUCCUAGCCUGCUACAUGACAAUAAAAAUAUUAUUUAGAAACACAUAUGUAGUAUGAUUCAUCAAUAAAAUUGUAAUUGGGUGAAUUCACUUAUUCAGUUAACUACUGAUGCUGAGGUACAAGAUUUAGUGCUAUGAUUAAUUUAUAAGUGUUGCUGUUGUGAUAUAGUAACUGUGGUGGAUUAAUUAGCAGCUUCUUUUUUGCUUGACUCGAUGCAUAAGCAUGGAAAUUAAAACUUGAAACUUGAUCAUCACUGCAGCUAGAGUUUGGUCAAUUUUGAUUGAAGAUCUAGCUAUCCAAGUAGUAUGCCUCGGAGACUUCACUUAUUCAGCUUAUGCCUUCUCUGACCUGUCAACCAAACUGACUCUUGUCAUGGCUUGGUGGGAUUUUGUAAUGACGAUUCUGAAUGAGAAGGGGCUCUAGGCUGAUGCCUAAGUGAGACAUUCAGUGGCAGAUCCAGAAACAACUCAAAUUGAAAGACUGUUGGACAAUAUUAGUUUUUCCAUGUUUGUGUGCCUCAGGUAAUUUUGUCUUCCUCCUAUCUUCCCCUCAUGGACUGUCUUCCUUGUAAAAUUCAAGUGUUUCAUGCUCCAAAAGAUCAUCUUUUAUUAAAUGAGUCCAUUCUUUCAAAUGUCAUGCGGGUAUUUUUGUUCAGCUUAUGUUGGGGAAUUGCAACACAGGACUAUCAUGUGCUCUGCAUGCUAUUACUAAUUGAAUUCUGGACUCAAACAUGUUCCCAUGAGGUUAAAAAAUUGUAUAUGCUCUGAAUUGUCAAUUCAAAUUGAAACUUUACUUUAAUUUCAUCUUUUUGUUUUUGAGAUGCCAUCAAAACCAGAUGUGUGCUCUGCUUCCUUGGAUACUUCUGUUCUCUGGCUUUUUCCUUGUUGCGUGAAAGGAGCCUGCAGAUUGUUUACCUCACUUAGAUAUACCUUAUUUAUAUUUAUUGUUCACAGAUUACUGCAGGCUGUAUAGCGAGGAUUGAUGAGGAGUCGGACCUUCAUUUAUGUCUUUUGACUUUCAGUUUAGUUGUCCAUCUUAUUACCUGUUUUUAUUUUAUUUUAUUUUCAGCUUACAUUUUCAAGACCUGAACUCCUCUCUUGUUUAAUCUAAUGAACUGCUAAUCAUAUUAUUGUUUUAUCUUCUAGCUAUCGCCCACUUGAGAAUGCUUCAGUACGAAUAUGAAAUGUGUUUCAGUAGGAACACUAUAUUCUGAUCUCAUAUCUUGUUCUUUAUUUUAGACACUCACAACAGUCUUAUUCUGUGAUCCAGUUCAUUAAUAUUUUUUAGUUAAGUAAACAUCUCCAAGUAUGUGGUUAGAAAUAAAUUUGGUCACAAGGGGUUGUGGAUGCUCAAUAAGCUAUUUCCCGAGCCACCAAAAACAGCCUCGGCGCCUCCCUUUGGUGUGUUUCCACCGCCCCUCUUUUCUUCUUUCUUUUUAUGUUAGUUUUUUCCUCAACUUUUCAAUUAUGUCCCGGGAGAAGAGGGCGGUUCCUCCUGUUAUCUCGCCUGGUAGAUGCAGUUCAUUUCUCAUGGUGCAUAUAGUCUACCUCUUCCGCAUGUUCACCGUGUAUUUGGCAGUGGCGGUACCAGCUUCCAUCCAACUCCAAUCAUCCAUUCAACUCCUGCAACUCUCUUUUACCAAUUCCCUCGUUUGGCCUGUUUGACCUAUUCGAUGGCUAUGACAGUCCCUUAUCUGUUUAGCUCCCCAGUAGCUUUUGACAACUCUUUUUGCUAAGUCCUUCCUAAACAAAAAAAAUCUGCUACCUUAGCACAAAAUGUUUUUAUCAUCCUUUAUGUGUGUUGGUUUUUCAUAUUAUGCACUAUCCAUUCUAUGUUCAGUUAUUCUUUCAUAAGCCUCUACUGCCCUAUCCACAAGUUAUGUUAUUUGACCCACAAAUAUAUUUUCUGGUGCCCUUAAUCAACUAAAGCCCUCUUGCAUAUACCCCUUUAUUCUAGCGUCUUCAUAGUCGUUCUACAGGUAGUUGGUAGCCUAGUUGAACCUUUAAUCAUGUGACUAGAGAUGUAAGUGCGAUGGAUAUUUGGGAUAGCAGCAUGCUUGCAGUGUAUGUUAUCGACCCAAGUUCUACUGUUUUGAAGCUCGCAGAUACACCUGACCAUGUGAGACCUGUCUAGUGGAUAUUUUGGAAGGGGCUGCAGUAGUCUUAUGUCUGGCCAUCUUGCUUACUAUAGAGUAUUCACAACCAUAUAUCACUUUUCCUCUUCCUAGUUCAGUAGCUUCCUUUCUUAUGUGCUCAUCAGCUUAACCUUGGGCAUGAACUGAUCUAGGAGGUUACAGGUUGAAGGGCAUUGUGAAUUUGUGAUGUAGACUGAGUCUUAUAGGUUACAGGUUUAAUGUCCAUUUGUGGUGUUAUUUGCUUAUUGUAGACAAUCCAUCUGUCCUCUGCUCGUACCGCUCGCCCUAGUGCCCUGCUCCUGUUGCUAAUGCCUCUCACUCAACAUGUCCUACAUGCCGAGGUAAGACUGGCCUUGAGGUUCUUUAAUUUAAUUUGUGCAUUAAUUUGUUAAUUAAGAGACAUCGAAUUGUCAACUAAGGAACAUAAGAAAAGAUUUCUGGUCUAUUUUAUGGAAGGAAUAAGUUCAUGUGCUACUGUAUUUUUAUUUGUGAAUAUAGAUAUCUAGGGAUUAUAUAGGCAAGAUGAAAUAUGCUAGUGCAUUCACAAAUUAGUGCUCAUGUAUGAAGAUCCACUUGCAAACUUUCAUAUGAUUUUCUUUUAGAUUUUUCAGUCACGCAGAUCCAACUAAUCUGUAGCUUCCAAGUUUGCUACGCUGGACCGACAGAGUUGGGUUCAGAACAGUUCAGGAAAUACCAUUUUUCUCAGUAUUCAUAUGUGAUAUCUUUACAUCUAAAUUAUAUUUUUUUAGAUGUUCAAUUAUGAAUGGGCAUGGCAUAGGGAAGAGUACAAAACCAACUAGUAUUGUUGAUUGCAUUUUAGGGUAAGCUAAACAUGUAUAACUGUUGGUGGCGCCUCCCAGCUUUAGUUGCUUUUCUUUGCUAUAUUUUAUACUUCCUUUUUCCCAUUAAAAAUGUUGAUUCAUUGAUGUUCACUAAGUUAUUUAAGAAAUCACAAAGUAGCACCUGAGUUUGUAGGAUAAUGUCUCUUUUUUUGUCUACUGCAGAACUGGAUGUUAAGUCUAGAUAGCAACUUUUCUUGCCUAUUCGGUUUUGAUUAUUUACAUCUAGCAUUCUAAUUUCCCUCUCAAGCCAAAUUUAUGUUUUUCUUUUUUGCAGGAAAGAAACCUUCUUGUGUGGAUGGAUGCUUUUAGUUGAUUACCACAGAUGUACAUGUCGCCGUGGCCUACCUCUAAACUAUUAGAAUCCUGAUAUCCUCUAUUACAUGUGCUAUAAUAGAUUGUUAUAGAAUUAUUUAUGGUAUCCUACUAUCUUCUACACAUAAUCUUGGUUUCAAGGGUGACUAGGCGUCCAGGCAAGAUCUAGGUGUGCGCCUAGGCGACAAGGCAUCACUGUUCCCCAGCGAGCUAGGUUCGCCCUGGAUGCCUAGGCGUUGCCUUUGAAACAGGGCUCAUAAUACUUUCCCUUUUGUUUUGUUUCAAGCUAUAUAAGGUUCCAGACUUCCAGUUGAUCCAUUUAUAUUAGUAUAAGUAUAAUAACAUAUUACUUAGGUACUACAUUAAUUUUUUACCGUUUUCUUGAGUAUCUAUAAUGUAUCCUUGGAUUAUUGAAUUUACUGUAAACUAAGUUUAUGCUAUUACCAUACUUAACUCAUAAAAAUAUUUUAAUGCUUGUCAUAUAUAAUUAUACACAACAGAUUAUUCACUCUGAAAAAGACAAGACACUCUCCAUUGGAUGGUGAACAUUUUUACCAUUUUCAUCUGAAAGAACAAAAUAUAAACAUUUGUAGUUUCCAGAUAGCUUGCUCUAUAAUGUUUUUAGGUAAAUAGUUUAUAUUUUAUCUGCUAGUAUUUUUGUACUUAACUAAUUGUAUUAUUAAUGGUUUUGAUAAAAGCA